AUUACCCUGCUGUGUGCGUGGACACCUUGAAGUUUUAAACCAACAUAUAUACAUUGGGAGUCCGGCCUCUGGUUGUGGCUUGUAGACCUUCUAAAGAAGGUAACGAUAAGUAAUCAGGAGGACACCCACUUUUGAGCUUAGGUUCAAGAAACUUUGGGGUUCACGGCAUUUGUGGGGUUAUU
rnacentral:other from 1 species